UUGAUCUCAAAUCAGGUAGGACUACCCGCUGAACUUAAGCAUAUCAAUAAGCGGAGGAAAAGAAACUAACAAGGAUUCCCCUAGUAACUGCGAGUGAAGCGGGAAAAGCUCAAAUUUAAAAUCUGGCAGCCUUUGGU
rnacentral:rRNA from 1 species